CUCAUCUAAGCAAGCAACCAUGGUUCUCAAUAUUCAUAUUGAUUUUGAAUUUGGGUAGCAGGGGCAUUUACUUUGUAGAGGAGGAAAAUUCAGAAGGUAUUGAAUCCUCUUUUACAUGUUUGGUCACAAUAAAACUCCAUUCUGAAUUGACUUAUGAUUACAAAUGCCCUGCAGGAUGCAGCGGAAGAUGUCCUGCAAGAAUACCAAAAAGGCUGCAGGCGAGAGACAAAGAUGGGAACAUAGGAUGUCCAGAUGCUGUUGUAGAGGCUUCUCACUAUGUCCAUUUGUGUUG
rnacentral:lncRNA from 1 species